AGUGAGAGAACACCGCAUGGCAGGAGCGGGGGACCCACUCAUGGGGCAUCGCGGAUGCUCCUCGGGGUGAAGUCCCGGGGCGUGCGGACCGCUGGGUCGGUCCGGUGCCGCGGGACCGGGCCGCACCUCUGGCCCGAACCCGACAGCUGACCUCGCAGGCGGGACAGAGGUAUACA
rnacentral:sRNA from 2 species